rnacentral:tRNA from 1 species
GGUGGCUUAGUGGUAGAGUGCUUGCCUUGCAUGCAGGAGGCCCUGGGUUCGAUUCCCCAGCACCA